GCUGCUUUGUGAUCGUUAAAAGUUGAAUCAAAUAAGAGCGGAAAAGAGUCGACUCAUCUGUGAGUGACUCAUCACUAAAAUUCAGUAAACUUGGCGUAAGAAAUGGACGCAUCUGAGCACGUAGAAGAUGCUACGUAACUCAUUUAUCACGUAAUAGGACGCAGCAAAGCAAUUCUGUUCUAGUAGUUUUGGAAAGUUACUUUCUUUCUAAACCAUAUCUACAGUGUCCUAUUAAGUAGCUUGAAUUUGUUUAAAACUAUUAUUGUUAUUAUUAUUAUUUCAUACCCGUCUUAAUGACCUGACACCUUCUUGUGUGCGCGUGCACGCUUACUAAGACACUGCUGAGUCAAAACAAACCUUGCCAGCUCUUUAACUAUAAAGGUUUUACUUUCUUAAAGUUUCCACAUUGCCAUACGAAAGCUUGCACGAACGCUGCAAUGGCUUCUGGUGGAUCUUCACCACAAGUCCAGCCUUGCCACAUCUUUGGUGUGUGCAAAGGGGUAAGGAACAACUUACUGUUUCAAGCUGAGGAAACGAUGACUUUCCCAAGUGGAAACCACUGUGUCCGCUACCACGUCCUUCAGAGACGGACCAAGUUCAUUCACGGUGUGAAGGGAAGCAUGAAGGCCCUGGCUUUAAGCCCCGACCGGCGCUACCUGGCCGUGUCAGAGAGCGAUAAAUGAUAGUACAUGAUAUAAGAGAAUUUCCUUUCAGUUUCUAAGCGAAUAAAACAGAGAUGAAUUCAAAACUUGUGUUCAUUUGUGUCUUAAUUAGAACGUGCACAGGUGGAUCUAGUGUACUCGUGUGUGUGUGUGUGUGUCUGUGUGUCAGAACAUCCUCUCGAGGAACAUCACCGUGUGUCAAAAAGACACCCGUG